UAACCAUGGUGAGGACAAGAUUUUCGAAGGUCCUUGAACCUAUCCCGAGCUUCAUAUAAUGUCUCAUCCAUCUCUUAAGAUAAAUUAGCUAUCUUCCUCCUAGUUU
rfam:Beta vulgaris subsp. vulgaris Bvchr9.sca025.con0221.1, whole genome shotgun sequence.